UACGAAGGUGGCAAGCGUUGUUCGGAUUUACUGGGCGUACAGGGAGCGUAGGCGGUUGGAUAAGCCCUCCGUGAAAUCUCCAGGCUUAACCUGGAAAGUGCAGAGGGGACUGUUCAGCUAGAGGAUGGGAGAGGAGCGCGGAAUUCCCGGUGUAGCAGUGAAAUGCGUAGAUAUCGGGAGGAACAUCCGUGGCGAAGGCGGCCACCUGGACCAACAUUGACGCUGAGGCACGAAACGCGUGGGGAGCAAACAGGA
rnacentral:rRNA from 1 species